CCGACGUCUACAACUCAAGAACCCAUCGAGCCUGCGGUAUUUAUAGCCACAUGCCUGCCGAGAGACAGAGCGGGGACCUCGUUUACAGCGCUCCGUUCAAAACGGCUUCACACCGAGAAAGACGACAACACAACCUUCAGCGUCAGAGGCCUUUUUAAUGAGAGCCGCGCUCGACGUGUACGGAAGCCCUCGGCUCCCCCCGGAGACGAGACACAACACAGGGCUGCUGCUGCUAGGAGACAGUAAACACCCUCCACUUCGAGGUGAAUAUAUAUCGGGUCUGUCUAUGUACUUAAUGUGGCCGAAAGAAAAUACAACGGAGCAGCUAACAAUGUGGAGCCGUUAGGGUGAGCUUAACUGCCAUUAGUCCCCAGGUUACUCAGUCCUCCCGGUUACUCAGUCCUGUUACUCGGUGUGAAGAAGCGGGAUCCCCCCCCCCCCUCCCCGCCCGUUAACAAAGACGUACGGCAGUGCUCUGUCUACCGACAGGAGGCUUAGAUCACCUUGGGCCACCCGUGGCCGCCCUCAUGGCCUCCACUCAUUCAUCAGCACCGGCCGCCUGCAUUCGCUCGAAGACCCCCUCCCAACCCCACCUACCUCCGUAGCAGGAUGAUAACGCCAGAGCAUUAGUCCACGUUACUUCGCACCAAUGCUAAUGUCCUGCCGUCCAAUGCCACGGUUGAAUUGAGAUACGAGCCCCCCCCCCCGCAGGGAAGAAGUGCUUCCGGUUUGGGCUCUGGCUUGUCACGUUCCGGCAGCGCUGGCAGCUCGUCUCUGAAGACCACAGGUGCUGCUGGCUCCCUCCAGCGCGCUCUGUAGCAGCAGCAGCAGCAAGCCCCCAAAUUGAAUUAUCUAAUAAAAGGGCUGGGGCUCCGAUGACAUUCAAUAGAAUUGAUCUUGAUUAAGACCAGAGACCUGUGAAAUCUACAGGGUCCCUGACCCACAGACCAAAUAAUAAGAAAUACGUCCAUGAUAAAUGAGGUUGGCGAUGAUGAGGAUGACAAAGCUGCAUGUGUGUGUGUGUGUGUGUGUGUGUGUGUGUGUGUGUGUGUGUGUGUGUGUGUGUGUACAGAGUCCAAGAGAAACGACUUUAUUUUGGCGGGUCAGGACAUCUAUCAAUGAAUUUCCCAGUCGACCGAAGCGCAGCACUUGUCGAAACCACUGUACUUUCGUGUCAAUUUGCCGUUUCUCAAGUGGGGGAGAUGGGGAUCAAAUCCCAGCAUCUCUCCGUCCAGCGCUGAAUUAAAAGGCUGGCGUUGGCGGAUCUCUGGAUGCUAGAGGGCAGGCCGGAACACACCGACGGAAACUCGUAAACAAACUGACAGCGUUGGCGCUUUGUUCCAGCCCCCCUCCAUUAUCCUAAUUCCGAGCUACUUGUUCUUAUUUUAAGAUGCAGUUAAUAAAACUGUCCGCUGCUGUUUCAGCUAAGCACUUCUAUAAUGUACAGCCGGAAAUAAAGCAGAGGUUAUAAAAAUUGC
ensembl:lncRNA